UACGUAGGGCGCAAGCGUUGUCCGGAAUUAUUGGGCGUAAAGAGCUCGUAGGCGGUCUGUCGCGUCGGAUGUGAAAACCCAGGGCUCAACCCUGGGCCUGCAUUCGAUACGGGCAGACUAGAGUGCGGUAGGGGAGACUGGAAUUCCUGGUGUAGCGGUGAAAUGCGCAGAUAUCAGGAGGAACACCGGUGGCGAAGGCGGGUCUCUGGGCCGUAACUGACGCUGAGGAGCGAAAGCGUGGGGAGCGAACAGG
rnacentral:rRNA from 1 species